CUGAGAGGAGUCCGGGUGCUCAUUACCACCCUAGAUGAGCCCAUACAAGAUGUGUCCUUGGGAGUGUGUGCAGUGGACACACAGAGACACUUAGGAGUGAACUCCUGUGAGUCUCAGGAUGGAGAAUUCCUACAGAAGUCUGGUGGCUUACAGCAGCAGAUGCGGAUCUGGGUCUGUCCCGUGGAAUAUUCGGAAUAUUAGCAGAAUUCACUGGUGGCCUCUCCUCCGCUUGUCCCAGCAGUCCAGGCCAAAAAGUGCUAACAGCCCCUUCCCCGUUUGAGAACAUUCAGUAUCACUUUCUAGGUGCUUUCUGGCUUCCCAGCACUGGAUCCUGCUCUAUGCAUGUUCUUUGGCCCCCUUGGGCGAGCCUCUGAGAAGCCCCUUGGAGGACCCCUCAGGUGAGCCCCUGAGAAGCCCCUUGGAGCACCAUUUUGCAGUUUCCUCGUCCAGAAACAAGAAGCUGAGACCCUUGAGAAGCCAUCACGGGGAUUAGAGAUGAGCUUGGACAUCCACCUUCACCGAAAGUUUGCCCUAGUCACCCCUUGUACCCCUCCUCUUGGCCCAGGGCACCUCUGCCCACUGACUCCACUUCACGGGCUCCCCUACUGGGUUUUUUUUUUCUUCUAGUUAUCAUCUCUUCUGGAACAUAUGUCUUGCUUUGAAAAUCCUCUCUUUGCCAGUUUCUCCCCCUUCAUGUUACCAUCUGGGUCCUAAACCCUAGCGCUGCAUUCACCUGCUGCGUAAACCCAAGCUAAGCCUAGGCUGGCCAUUUCUACCCUUGCCCUCUUAAAAUUUCUCCUGGAGAACUCCCUAAGUGCUGUCUCUCAAGAGUUGGAGUCUAUAGGCAACGGUGUGGCCAGGGAAUCUGCAUUUUUUAACCACACCUUCCUAUGGGAGAGAGGCUGGCUCUUGUAUUGUACUCUAUGAAGCACCUAUCACCCGCGGUGUCCCCCUCUGUAAGAGGAUGGAGCAGAACCUUCCUCCCAAGGUUGCAAAAGUGGAAUGAUUGAUCUGCAAACAAGCAGAUCUUUUGUCCUGCCUUAGUUUUGUAUAAUUGCUUUUGUCUGUCCUUCCUGUCUGUUUCGGUUAAGUUUCUAUUCAUUUUCUUACUCUCUUCUCAUUACCUGAAGAACACCCAACUCCAGAGUGGAAAUGGAAACCCUGAACGUGGUGUGGGGUGGAGGUGGGGUGUCUGUGAGGGCUGGAGGUCCCCACGCAGCCUAAGUGGCCCUUUUUACUCCUGGAAACCCGCACCCAACAGUCCCCUACGAUGGAGCAUCCCCGCCCCUGCAGCCUCCACAGCCAGGAAGCCCAGGGAAGAGGAGGAAUCUAUUGUGCAGGAAUGGCCGCUGCUAUGGAAACCAGCGCUCAGGAAACUCAGCAAAGAUCCAUUCCGGGGAGCCGGGUUGCCUUGGGGGAGGGGAAGAGGCCAAACUGCGCCUCGGACCUUGCCCUCCCAUUACCCAUCCUGUGAUGCUGGGCAAGUCACUUAACCUCUCUGAGCCCUCCUUUCCCUCACCGGCCUGAGAGCAGCAGCCCCCAUUAGCGGUGGAUAAUCCCAGCCUCCGAUGACUGAAUGUCGCGCUGCGGCUUUCAAGACUGAAGAUGGGCCAAAUUGCUGUGAGCUUUCUUUCAUUACCGCAAGCUCAAAAUAUUCCAGUGCCAGCUUGCUGAGCGACCCUGUGCCACGGAGGACCGGCAACGAUUGCAAUGAUUGAAUUCCCUCUCGCGGAGGCAGUGGGUCCACCCUUAACACACACACUACCAUACACACUCAGACGCAGCAUGCACACAGGUGCUGAGCUAGGCUGCCCACAAAAAAAGCUCGGUUUCUGCAGGCAGGGAGCUCUCGCUCUCAGUUUCUCUCCAUCUGCAGCGCCAUGGUCAGGAUCAUCUGAAGGCUUCGCUAGACUGCCCACUUCAGGAGGCCUAAGUCCAACCCCAGCAGCCUGACCUUGGAGGCCUUUAGCAUCUUUGCUCUGUCCAGCUCAUCCUGGUAUCAUCUCUGGAUUUAUGAGAGCCUUCCUGAGUGGAAAAAAUUGCAGACGGCUCAGUGCUGGGGACCCAGGAAUGCACGAGGCCAGCUGAGACAAGGAUAUGCAGCCAAGAGACGCAGGCAGAUGUUAAACAAGUAAUUACAAGCAUGAUGGAUGCCACAAAGGGACAGCAGAGCAAGAACCCCCAGGAGUGAUACAGGAAGACACCAGGGAUUUCCAUUUGAAUGAGGUUUUUGUAGUCCAAAGGUUGGUCCUCUGGCCCUGCACAGAACCUCCUCUGUAAAGUCCCGAGGCCUGCAGACUCAGUACCUUGGGGCAAAGGGACCCCUGAACCCAUGUUCACCAAAAGACAUGGUACGGUUAGCCCUGAGUUGUGAGGGUGAUGUUUGGUAGCCGCUCUCCUACUCAGGCAGGCUCAUCUCCCAGCCAGCCAUCUGACAUGCAGAAUUAGUUCUAGGGCAUAGAUAAUAAAGAAGCCAAGGGCUAGAAAAGUCAAAUGACCCCUUGCUAAAUAUGCUUACAGGUAACAGUGGAGACAAGAAGUGCCCAGUGGGCUGCUCUUACCCAUGAUCCUUCACUCUACGACAGCAGUUAGCAACCCAGAACUGGUGACCCUGACAUCACGGUGAAUGGCUGUCCGGCCAGGCAGACCUUCAACCGUUUGUCUAACUCAUCUGACUUGUUUCCCAGCUGAUGGUGUCUCUGGUGUGAUGGGACUUGUGAGGAUUUUUACUGCUGAACCUGCUGCCUUUCUCUCUGCUCUCCAUCUCCAUCCUUCUUCUCAACCACUCUGGCCUCAAGGACUCCUCUAACUGGCAGGACCUGACCCUGCUCAGCAGUUUUGUACAUACCGCUCCCUGGGCCCGGCAACUUUUCUUCCUCAUAUCCACAGCUCUGCUUAGAGACCUCCUGGCAUCCUGGCAGAAGCUGGUCCUGUGCCACCACCCUGGAUGCCACUCAGCCUGUGUUUUUCUCCCUUGCACUUUCACCAGCUCCUACUCCCAGCCUCUUGCUGCAGAGAGCUUUGGUUCAUUCACUGCAGUUUCCCAGCCAAGGUACUUGACUCAGGCCACCAGGAGUUAGCAAGCCCACAGAAGCUCAUGCCAGACCGCUGUGCUUCCAUGGUCUAUGCAUACCCUUGACAGCUCCGAAGGGGCGCCCUCUCUCCCUAGCCAUAUGGUGACGGGGUUGAUUUGGAGCAUACCUGCUCCCCAGUCAGUCAGACAACAAGAUCUAGGCAGAGUGUAUUCACAACUCUACAAACAGGCUCUCUGAGAAGACAGCCAUGCAGCCUUCCUCUUAUGUAGUAGACCUCUAAAAGAGCACUACUGGAUUCCAUGGGCCUCUUUCUCCAGCCCCCUGGAGCUGGCAGGCAAUAGGAAACCAGGCCUAGGUUUGGCAAAGUCUAGCAGGGGCUCAAAGCCGAGGGCCAGCUCCCUGCCAGCUCCAUUCCCCCCAAAACAGCCUCCGAUUGUCCCAGUGCUCCCAAGUUCCCUGAAGUCCUUCCAGAGGCCACUCUCUCAUGGGGACAGUCACUCUCAAAGGGACCCCAGGCAAGCUGCUUCCUGCUGGACAGGCAUGGUGGUCCCAGCCUCACAGGAGUCCCAGGAUUUCCAUGCCCCGCUGAGAACUCACAGCCUAGAGUUUGGCAAGGACAGAGAGCCAGAGUCGGCUAUGGCUCCAUUUAGCAUUUGUAUGCGGGUGCUGGCCCUGAACAGGAGCUAAGAAUCCGUCAGCCCAAAAUAAAGCUCUCACUGAAAGCAAUCCUAAGAAGACAGAUCAGGGGAAAGGGAACCACCAAGGGCCUCUGUCUAGUUGAGAAUUCUCUAUUCUCAGCCCAUACCUCAACCCUCAUCUGUAGGGUUCACUGGACAGGUUUCUCAAAGCUCAGAUUGUGAUGGCAAAGAUUCAUUUAUCACCCAUGGCAGUGCCCUAACUCAGGGGUGGAGCAUCUGUAUCAGAAUAUGGUACAAAGGGCUUUCUCAAAAGGCUCGUCCCAGGUCUAGCCCUCCAGACUUGGUGAAAGUAUUAGCUACUGUUCUGACAAAAGCAAUUUAAAGAUGGGGGUGGGGUUGGUGUAGGUAUUUUGG